AUGUGUAAUUGUUAAUGACCAGAUUUCACUGAUGUAUUCUGACUUCUUUUAAAAAAUCCUGCAAACUUCAGACUUUUGAACGGAAGUGCACAUAUUUGAUUGAAUUUAAUUCAUUAUUUUAAAAAGGUUCAGCUGUUGCAUCAAAGCAGGCCGUGAUGUUUCAUGUCUCUAAAUGAGGCUGUAACCUGGCUGAUCUCCAAGGAGUAAAUUGCAUCUCAGAAGGAAACAAUCUCAGGAAUCAUUAGUUCACUAAACACGUGGAUCGCUCUGCUGGAUUUGGGGGUGAGAUGAGUCACUCAACUCCAGAAUGAUCUGCAGUAACUUGCUCCACCUCUGAAACAACUUUCCUUUUUACUGACAGAAGCAACAGUUGAAGAGCUUUAAUUUACGGGUUUGUUUCUUGGACUAGAUGGACUAGUAAUAUAGAUUAUUGUGAUGUUUUUAGCAGCUGUUUGGACUCUCAUUCUGACGGCACCCAUUCACUGCAGAGUAUCCUCUGGUGAGCAAGUUAUGUCUCCAAAUCUGCUCCAUUGAAGAAACAAACUCUACACCUUAGAUAACCUGUGGGGCCAGCGAGGGAAAGAGGGAUUCAGUGGAGGAAAUCCUGCACCCAUCUGAGUCCCAGUCUCCCAUGAGAAAUUAUUCCUGGCUCACUUGCUGUGAGCAGAAGCUGGAGAUAUACGCUCAUACUGUAAUUACAGGAUGCAUGGAGCAUGACCUGUCAGACUGAGAGAAGUGCCUCGGUCGCUCCUUCAUCCUUCUCUCUUUCUCUCCGCACUGAUGUGUGUCCACAGCCCACUCUUGAACCACCUGGAGGCCUGUGUGUGUGUGUGUGUGUGUGUUGUAUAGUGGAUGACAGGCGCUCUCACUCUCGCUGUGGGUCACUGUCAGAGAGGCAGCAGGUGUUACACAGAUUCUCCAGCCAGAUGAAUCCACAUUCUCAUGCCUGUUUACUCAUUUGAUCAGUAUUCAUGGUUAAUUCAAUUAGAAAUUCUGAAUAUUAAAAUCAGGCUUUAAAAAGUCAUAGGUCAUAGUGUGUGUGUGUGUGUGUGUGUGUGUGUGUGUGUGUGUUUUAAUAUAAAUUAUAUCAAUUUUCGGAGUCAUUAAAAAUUCUAAAAAUGAAAACCACUUAUAAUGUUAAUCAGUAAUUGGCAAUGCAAUAAUUUGCACUCUUUCUCUGCCCCUUACAUUUAAAUUGGCCUUUUUUUGGCUGCUGUGCCUUUUAGACUUCUAUAUAAAUGCCCCUUUCACAUGUGAAAUGAGUAACCACGCUCUGCUGUCGGAUCCAAUAUAGUGUUUAACUGCUCCAUCCUUCAAUAACAAGCUCUGUGCAGAGCCUGAAAUUACAUUGUGACGCUCGAACUGUUAAGGUCACACAGAUGUGACUAUUUCAGGGCUAAAUUUAAAAAUACUCUUUUGUUUCAAAACAUCAGGGAAAAUUAGAUAAUGACCCCUUUGACCCUACUGUAUUAUAUUAGAUACACAUUUCGAAGGCCUCUAAAUGAUGGACAUGAUCAUUUUUUCAAAGAUGCUUUCUGUCGUCUGAUUGAUAGUUUAGACUUUUUUAAUAAGUAAAAAGCCUUUUAGUGUAAUUGUACAAAUGUGCAUCUUCAGCUCAUAUGCAUCUUUGUUACCGACUUUUAUCAAGUAAAUAUAAAAAUAACUUUGAUAUUGUUAGUAGUAUUUCAAGAACUUUCAACACUGGAUUUAAGAGACUCAGCUAUUGCUUAUUCAGUCAUAUUUUUUGGGGGAAAUUCAUAUUCAAAUAUGAUCAUUCAGGUUUUUGUGAAACGUUUGUUUGUUCAUCUCUCCUUAUGUUUUCAUUAUUAAAAUAAGCAUUUCAACAUUAUCUUACUAAGACUAAGAUAUAGAGUGACAUAAAAGCCCGGUGUAUCAAAAAUGAUACUCAACAAAAAUCACAUAUGCAUAUUUUAUAUAUAUACUGUAAAAUCCAUUCCCACAGUGAACCUUAAAAUUAAUGCAUUCAAUACCAAAGAAACAGUUCUGAUCUGAAGUGUAAUCAACUCUACUAACCUUUGUAACCAUAAAUCUAUUAAUCAAAUCACUUUGAUUCAUGACUGUUCGCGUUGGAUCAUUUUGUCUGGAAAGGUUUUUGAAACAGUCUAUACAUUAGUUCAGAGAGAGAGAACUCAGACAGGCUCAUGAAAAAAUAUUAUGCACAAUUGAACAGGUUAUGCUUUUUAUAUACACUAGUGUGAUUGCCAAGAAAAAUGAUUUUGUAUUUGACAAUGAUAAAUUACAUUUAGUCUGAUUAGUGCAGCACAAGCUGCAUAUUUUGUCCAUGUAUGGGACAGUGUCUGCAGAAUCGA